GACGAACGCUGGCGGCGUGCCUAAUACAUGCAAGUCGAGCGGUAAGGCUCCUUCGGGAGUACACGAGCGGCGGACGGGUGAGUAAUACGUAGGAACGUACCCCAAAGUGAGGAAUAACCAGCCGAAAGGUUGGCUAAUACCGCAUAUGCUCUACGGAGUAAAGCAGCAAUGCGCUUUGGGAACGGCCUGCGUCCGAUUAGCUAGUUGGUAAGGUAAAGGCUUACCAAGGCGACGAUCGGUAGCUGUUCUGAGAGGGUGAUCAGCCACACUGGAACUGAGACACGGUCCAGACUCCUACGGGAGGCAGCAGUAGGGAAUUUUCCACAAUGGGCGAAAGCCUGAUGGAGCAACGCCGCGUGCAGGAUGAAGGCCUUAGGGUUGUAAACUGCUUUUAUCUGUGACGAUUAUGACAGUAGCAGAUGAAUAAGGAUCGGCUAACUCCGUGCCAGCAGCCGCCGUAA
rnacentral:rRNA from 1 species